rnacentral:tRNA from 1 species
AAUGACCAUCGGUGGGAGAGCGCAUCGCUGGCAGCGAUGAGGUCAGGGGUUCGAGCCCCCUAUUCUCCACCA